GGAGGUUCUCAGGUGAUGCAACCCAGAAUCGGGCUCCCUCCUCUCUGGUUCCAAGUGCAUCACCGGAGAACCGCA
rfam:Myotis brandtii contig280498, whole genome shotgun sequence.